rnacentral:rRNA from 1 species
GAUGAACGCUGGCGGCGUGCCUAAUACAUGCAAGUCGAGCGAACAGAUGAGGAGCUUGCUCCUCUGACGUUAGCGGCGGACGGGUGAGUAACACGUGGAUAACCUACCUAUAAGACUGGGAUAACUUCGGGAAACCGGAGCUAAUACCGGAUAAUAUAUUGAACCGCAUGGUUCAAUAGUGAAAGACGGUUUUGCUGUCACUUAUAGAUGGAUCCGCGCCGCAUUAGCUAGUUGGUAAGGUAACGGCUUACCAAGGCAACGAUGCGUAGCCGACCUGAGAGGGUGAUCGGCCACACGGGAACUGAGACACGGUCCAGACUCCUACGGGAGGCAGCAGUAGGGAAUCUUCCGCAAUGGGCGAAAGCCUGACGGAGCAACGCCGCGUGAGUGAUGAAGGUCCUCGGAUCGUAAAACUCUGUUAUUAGGGAAGAACAAAUGUGUAAGUAACUAUGCACGUCUUGACGGUACCUAAUCAGAAAGCCACGGCUAACUACGUG